AGCGAACGCUGGCGGCAGGCCUAACACAUGCAAGUCGAACGAAGUCUUCGGACUUAGUGGCGGACGGGUGAGUAACACGUGGGAACGUGCCUUUAGGUUCGGAAUAACUCAGGGAAACUUGUGCUAAUACCGAAUGUGCCCUUCGGGGGAAAGAUUUAUCGCCUUUAGAGCGGCCCGCGCCUGAUUAGCUAGUUGGUGAGGUAAAGGCUCACCAAGGCUACGAUCAGUAGCUGGUCUGAGAGGAUGACCAGCCACAUUGGGACUGAGACACGGCCCAAACUCCUACGGGAGGCAGCAGUGGGGAAUCUUGCGCAAUGGGCGAAAGCCUAACGCAGCCAUGCCGCGUGGAUGAUGAAGGUCUUAGGAUUGUAAAAUCCUUUCACCGGUGAAGAUAAUGACUGUAGCCGGAGAAGAAGCCCCGGCUAACUUCGUGCCAGCCGCCGCAGUAACAC
rnacentral:rRNA from 1 species